UCUCGGCCUUUUAGGUUCAGGGUUCGGCUCCGGUUCUGGAUCGGGGGCUGGGGCGCAGCGGGCCAAGUUGACCGAGAGACAACCGAGUAACAGAACAGCAAUCAACACUGGAAGGAAACAAGGUCAAUAAGUCAGGAAGAAUGGCCUGAGGGGCUUGUACCAUCCGCUGUUAUCGGAAGAGGGGAUGAACAUAGAAGUAAUGAUAAUGUACCAUUUCAUCACGAGCUCAAACACGCAAGUCAACACAACACAACAAGAAAAGAAAAUCUGAGGCUAAAGACAAGUAGAGGAGAAAGGAAGCUUGUGUAGUCUGUCACUCAGCAUUAUCAUUGCCGUGUACUUUGAGGUUGAAGUAAUAUGAAGUAGAAGCUUUGAGGAAUUGACAGAUGAUGAAGAAGUGGGCAACGAUGUCUUGGUUGCUCCUGAAGGAAAUUAGCCAAGGUCCCUCUCUAUGACAACCGAUGUAAGCAAUACAGCGAUUGGUGCUGUACUUGAGCAGGAUACUGCUGGCAUUCUACAGCAAAAAGCUAACCACAGGACAGCAGAAGUAUUCAACAUUCGACAGGGAGCUCCUUGCAGUCUGUAAAGCAAUCUGCCACUUAAGCCACGACAAUUUGUGGUGCAGACGGACAACAAUUUGUGGUGCAGACGGGCCGUCAACCAUUGUUGCAUGCCUUCACAAAGUCAGCAGAUGCAUGGUUAGCCUGACAACAAAGGCACCUAUCAGCGAUAGCUGAGCACUCCUUCACCAUCAAGUACCUGAAGGGUUCAGCAAAAAGCACCGUGCCAGAUGCCCUAUCAAGAAUCUGCGUCAACACCAUCCAGCUCGGGAUAGCCUAACUCAAGAUAGUGGAAGUGCAGAAGGACAGCGCAGACCUGAACCGACUACGACGGAUCAACCCCACCCUUAUGUGGAGUGACCAGUCAAUCAGCAGCGAAAUGGUGACCAUCACCUGCAAAUGAGUACCAGAUGCCCUCACCCGUACAUACCAGAGGAACAAAGGAGAGCCUUCGCUCUCAUCCACAACCUAUCAGACCCAUCAGGCAGAUCAACCACCCGAAUAAUAGCAGAGCAGUACAUCUGGUGGGGGAUGAGAAAAGAUGUGGAUAAGAGAGUGCAUACCGUGCCAGACAUCAAAAGUGACUAGAUAUGUUGAAAGUGGGAUAGAAGAGUUCAAAACAAUGCAUUGCUGACUCGCCCACGUACAUGAACAUACAUGACAAUGUAAUGGGACCCCUACCUCCCUCAGAGGGGUACAAAUACCUGUUUACCAUAAUAGACAGGAACACCAAGUCUGGAAGUAAUACCAAUAAGACAGCAGAUGGUGGAGAGCUGUGUUAAAUCCCUCGUUGAUUGGGUCAGUAGUCGUGGUGUCCAUCAGAUCAUCACCAGUGUUAGGGGUGCUCGCUUCACAUCCGCCGUUCGCAACGCCCUCACCAACAGUCUGGAGAUGAAAAUGAGGAACUCAUACUACGGCCUACUACCCGGAAGCCAACGGAAUCAUCGAGAGGAUGCACUGAUCGCUAAAAUGCUUGGGCAGGAGCUGGAGAAAAGAACUGUCUUGGGUCUCCUGGUGGGACUGAGAACGGCACCGCACGCAGCGUUCAGUGCAUCUCCAGCAGAAGUCCUGUAUGGCGAAGCAUUGACGUUUCCAACUGACGUCUUUCAAGAGCAAACAAAUCCAAAAUCGCUGUCAGACACCCGAAAAGCGAUAGAGAAAAUAACACCUGCGAAGACAACCUACCAAACAAACCGCAAAAAGUAUGUCCACGAAGACUUACAAAACAAAAUAUGCGUUAAUUUGGGUAGAUUCACACAAAACCCCUCCUCUCCCCUGCCUACUCCGGACCACAUCGCAUACUCUUAGAGACGGUUGAAGGCCUACCAGGUGACAGAAGACGGGAAAACGCGUAGUUUGGAUCCUGCAUAAAUACCAGACACCGGUCCACAGACGUAGGACUCUUCUGGUUGGAGGAGUGUUGUAGUGCCUGCGAUGACUGACUUGGGAGGAAAAAUCAUGCCGUCGAGGGAAGCAAUUCUCUCGCACGUCUUUUAUCCAAAUAUCUCGAUUACCAUUAUUGUCACUUUCCAUUAUUAUCAUUCUGUAUAUU